ACUCCUACGGGAGGCAGCAGUGGGGAAUAUUGCACAAUGGGGGAAACCCCUGAUGCAGCCAUGCCGCGUGUGUGAAAAGGCCUUCGGGUUGUAAAGCACUUUUCAGUAGGGAGGAAGGUAGUGUAGUUAACACCUGCACUAUUUGACGUUACCUACAGAAGAAGCACCGGCUAACUCCGUGCCCAGCAGCCGCGGUAAUACGGAGGGUGCGAGCGUUAAUCGGAUUACUGGGCGUAAAGCGCAUGCAGGCGGCCUGUUAAGUCAGAUGUGAAAGCCCGGGGGCUUAACCUCGGAAUUGCAUUUGAACUGGCAGGCUAGAGUCUUGUAGAGGGGGUGA
rnacentral:rRNA from 1 species